CAAUAAUCUGAACUUUAAUCAGAUCUUACAUUACUCUUCACAGUCAACCCAGUAUUGAGUUUCUCGCAAAACUGUAGAGAAUGAAGAAUCCUAUCUUCUGCUAAACGGUUUAUUAUGCUAUCAUAUUAAAAUAUUAAAAUAAAAUUAAUAUUAUUUUAAUAAAGAUCUUUAUAUUGAAGUAGUUAAAUUAUAUAUUAGAAGAGAGUAAAAUUCUACCUAGUAAGUGUUCAAUGGGUUUUCCUUUGAAUGAAGGUUUGUGUUUUUCUUUUCGUUUCUUUUCUUUUUUUAAUUCUCAGAAGAUAGACUUUAGUGAGUACUAGAAACUUAUUGUCAACCUUAUUCAGUUUUACUGGCCUUUGCUAUGAACCUAAAACUUAAUGAGUUAAGUCACCAUCUGGGUCCCAUUUGGGUUUUCCUUACUGGGGAAGAAAAGAAACAAACACAUCUAUUUGUUCUUGCUUUGGGGGUAGAUUGAGGAAGAAAUCUGAAUAUAUUUUCAAGCCCAGACCCUGGGAAUAGAGCCAGAAGGAAUCUGGAGCCAGGAGUAACAGUAGCUACAGCCCUUGGGUAACCAUUCUGGGCUACGAGUUUUGGCUGUCUUGUUUCCAAAAGCAAAGGGUUGAAUGAGCUGCUAAUGCUGUCUAGUUGUUCUUCUCUAUCUUGGAGACCUUGCUGGGGCAAGAUGGUUUCCAAUAAAUUUAACCAUCAAGCAAGGAAGUUGGGUGUGAAAGCCGGUAUGACCUGAAGCAAGUCACUUACAUUCGGUGUUUCCCUUUCUUUUCUAAAUAUUAAGGAGCAGGUUAAUUCCUACCCAAUGAAUUCUUUGAAGAUAAAGCUAAAGUACCUUUCUGAACAGGCAGACACAAGUUGAAAUAGCCUGAGGGUAGCUUAGUUGUCUUACUGGGGGAUGCAUAAGAAUUAUCUGGGAAGUUAGGUUAGGAAACUGCAGAAUCCUGGGAUUUACUUUUAAAGAUCCAAAUUCAGUAGGUCUGAGCAUUUUUAAUAAGCACCCCAGGCAUUUCCUGAAGCAGGUGGUUCAAGAACCACAAUUUCAGAAAACAAUGAACUGAAUGUUCUCCAAGCUGCCUUCUACCCUGGGAUUUUAUGUUUGAUUAUGAGAGAGAAGCAAAUCCCUUGAUGUUCAAAAGUAUAAAACUUUGUUCCAAGAUUUCAAAUGGUUUGGAGAAAUGUAUACAAUGCAAAAGGAUGAAUUAAGAAUUGUUGAAAAAACUAGAGUCAAAAGGAAAAUAACAGUGAGGAAAUAAUAAGGUUGGAGUAGGGUUAGUGUUAUGAAAUGCAAAUUAUAUGGUCCUGUAGAGUUUCUGGGGUAUGCUAAACAUUUUCUAUCAAGCUUCUUCAAAACAAAGUCAGGAGCAAAACAAGUGCAGAAUAAAUCACCUUUAGUGGCACAAGGACCUGAAGCCACAUAGUGAUACAGAGGCACUGCUCACCACAGUAUCCCUGCAAUAGAUAUGAAGAAUUUGGUCCAACUAUUUUUUACAACCCCAAGCUUUUAAGAGUCUACAGGGUCUAAAGCAAUAUGGUCCAAGUUUGCAGCCUGUGCUUAGUUAGCCUCUUCCCACUCCACCUUAACCUGCAAAAAAGCCUAGAGGCUGCUGUUAGAGACAGGGUAUGGCCAAGAGCUUCAAAAGAACCAGCCUUUAAUACCUUGACUCAUUCCCACUGCUGCCCUUAACCUCCUUCCACUUUCCCUUCUCCUUGGGCAUGGCCAGAGAGAUCACAGCCUCUCGUGGCUGACUACCCUUCUAACCAUACUUGGAACGAGAGAGCCUGCCAACAACUAUGGAGCAUUCACUUUACAUAGGGAAGCUUACCAAACAGCCCAGACCAGAGCAUUCUGGAUGGAGCCAGGGUGAGUUCAGUGGCUGUGACUCCACAGCCCUCUCCCUGAAUUCUGGGUCGGCCUCCAUUAGAGAGGGUAUUGUAGGAGAGGAAAAACAGUUAUCUUCUACCCUUCUUAGGUUCAUUGGCUGGGGGCCUAUAAAUUAGAUUGACAAAAGUCAGAUCAAUAAGAGAAAAACAGAAUUUAUUAACAUGUACAUGGUACAUACACAUGGGACCACUCAGUGAUGAGUGACUUAAAGGGGUGCUUAGAACAUGGGCUUAUAUAUCAUCUUAACAACAGAACAAUUAAAUUGUAGAGAGGUGAUAAGACAAAGGAAAAGGACUUUUCAUUCAUAGGGUGGCAAAUGCUGCCAAGGUAAAUAUAUAAGGAAAGGAAUGGAAGAUAAGAGCUUGUCAGCAAAGCUUGUUGUGUAGAUGCCUGUGGUGCCUUUGUCAGGCUGAUAAGCAUCCAAAAUUGUCUCUGGUAAUCAGAGACAUCACUUUCUGGUAGAGAGGGGAGGGAGGACAAAUUUAUGUCCCGUUUUUAGGUAAAUAGGAAGGGAUCGAGAGCUUUUCUUGUAUCUACUUUUUUUCGGUUGUCUCAGCUCCAAAUAAUCCUUAUGCCAGAGUGAUAUAUUCUGAUACCCUUUUGUAGCCUCCUGGCUAUGUGUUUCUUGAAGCUGAAAGCAGUCACGGCUUCGUUGAAUUCUGGCCUCUACCACUUUCUCCCUCUCCUUAUAAUCAUCAACCUUCUGAACCAUAAAAUCCUUGGGGCAGCUUUUUAAAUUUCAUUUUAUUUGUGUCUUGUGUUUCUUACAUUACCUGCCACAUAGCUGGAUAUAUAGUAGGUUUUUAAAAAGCAGUAAGUAUUAUGACUACUGUGAAUAUGAUCAAAAAGCAAUAUCAUUGAGUGUGUACUGUGUUCCAUGUGCUAUGUUAGCCAUUUUACACAUGCAUUCUUUCUAAUUUCAUUGCUAUUUUUGGCUCAGUUAUUUAUUUAUUUGAAGUGACAUAUCAUAAUAAGCAACUUUCCAGAAUUCACACGGUCAACAAGUUAAUGUAAUUUAAUUUCAUUCUUUCCACUUUACCCAUCUGCCAGAUGAAUAAUUUGCUAUACUGUAUGUAGUUCUCCACCUCUAUGUGACCAAAUGUACAUAAAAAGAUAGUAACCUGGAAGGAUGAACAUUUAAUCUCUAGUUAUCUUGACAGCUUGGAAUUGUAGGCCAAUUAUCAUGUUUAUAGGUGUCUAUAACUUCUCCAAAGAUGGAAUUCUGUCAGGUGCAAUAGUGCAAGCCUGUAGUCCCAGCUACUUGGGAGGCUGAGGUAGGAGGAUGACUUGAGGCCAGGAGUUUGAGACCAGCCUGGAAAAAAUAGCAAGACUGUCUCUAAAAAUAAUAAUAAUAAUAAGAUGGGGUGCACAUUAAAUUUUGACCAGCCCUAGUGGCUUUGUUUUGUACAACUUAGUUCUGCACAUUUUAGCUCUUAAGUUUCUUGGAACCAGAGCUACUACAAGCAGAAAACUUCAAAGCUAAGCAUUUACUCCAUGGUGAUUUCCUAGCCAACUUGUUAAACUCAAAUGUGGUCCUUUGAUGUUUACCCUAGACUUGCUGGUUUUUAUGUAAAUGAUCCAAUGAAUUCUUCCACCAUUUAAUACCUUUAUUUUUCCUCUUUCAACUGAGGUCUUGGUGUGAUUAUCAUCGGCUUAGCCGUGACAGUGACUGGUAUCACUGGUUUAUCCACCUCUGCUAUUGCCACAAAUGGAUGUGUCAGAGGAGGUAAUUAAACUUGUGACCCGCACCAUCAUUUGUAAGGUAAAGGCAACACAGGCUCUAACAGUUCACCACUGACCUUUCUGGAGUGUUUUCAAAGGUAAUGCAAGUUGGUUUCUUUUCCCCCAUCAGGCAAAGAGAUGCAAGAAAAAUGGGGAAGGAUUUAACCUUUGUCAAACCCCCAAGUUUCUCAUUCCAGUUCCUUCAAGCAAGAAAGGUCAAAUGUCAUGUUUUCUCUUUUCACAGCCAGGAUAGUUUCUCUCCCAGGACACCAGCAUAAGUCAACUUUUCCUUUCCAAGUCUGCACUUUCGAUUGUGUUUACUUUUGGAAACCAUCGUUCAUCAUAAUGAGCAGUUCUCUGACUUGGUCUUUACGCCAGGCAAACCAGUUUCUCCUUAGCACAAAGAAACCCCGUUGGAGCCCGAGGCAUGGACCUGAAAACUUAAGUUAAAGGCAGUGUAGUUUGCAGCAAUAGGGAAUCCAAGGAAGAAAAGUAAAAUGCAAUAUCUUCUAUCUUUCAUUGCUAACAGGUCUUGGAGUUCUCAUAAUUCUUCUUUCCACCAUGGUAACUUCUAUUACUGGGUUGUCAACUUCUGCGAUAGCAACUAACGGGUUUGUUCGUGGAGGUAAAAUCUCUAAGAUAUCUAAUGCCCUCAUCACUUGCUACGGGUAGGCGAACAAUUUUUUAUACUUCUUUUUGAUGGGAACAAGGAAGUAGCCCAAUGUUCUUGAAGCCUGGCUAUUUGGAGGAGCUGGAUGCCAAAGAAAACCUAAGGUAUGAUGAGAAUAGUCCAGGUCUACUCUGGUCUCUUUUCUAAUGGAUCUCUCUGGCACAUUGUAGGUUAUGCCUUACAGAUGUGCACCUUCCUUAGGUAAACUUUUUCUUUUUCAGGCUAGUCUGCACACCUCUAGCUGAUGUUCCUUGGAAACUGAUUCCAGAUUUGGCUUCUGUUUAAACGUUUAGUACAUUUCAGGUGCUUCCUAGACCUUCAUGAAAUGGGAUCUUUUAGAACAUUUCAGGUUUUCACAGGGAGGUGGAUCUUUCUGUGACAAGAUUCAGACUGCUGCCUCCUGAAGUACUGGUGACUUCUCUCAGUACUGGAACCAAACACCUUUCUUGGGGGAUUUUGCAGGUCUUGGAGUCAUCAUCAUUGGCCUAAGUGUGGUAGUAACGACACUCACAGGUAUUUCUAUGUCUGCUAUUUGCACGAAUGGAGUAGUAAGAGGAGGUGGUGCCUACUAUCUUAUUUCCAGAAGUUUAGGGCCCGAGUUCGGUGGGUCAAUAGGCCUGAUCUUUGCUUUUGCUAAUGCAGUGGCUGUUGCUAUGUAUGUGGUGGGAUUUGCUGAGACUGUAGUAGAUCUUCUUAAGGAGAGUGAUUCGAUGAUGGUGGAUCCAACCAAUGACAUCCGGAUUAUAGGCUCCAUCACAGUGGUGAUUCUUCUAGGAAUUUCAGUAGCUGGAAUGGAAUGGGAGGCAAAGGCCCAAGUCAUUCUUCUGGUCAUUCUUCUAAUUGCUAUUGCAAACUUCUUCAUUGGAACUGUCAUUCCAUCCAACAAUGAGAAAAAGUCCAGAGGUUUCUUUAAUUACCAAGCAUCAAUAUUUGCAGAAAACUUUGGGCCAUGCUUCACAAAGGGUGAAGGCUUCUUCUCUGUCUUUGCCAUUUUUUUCCCAGCAGCUACUGGGAUUCUUGCUGGUGCCAAUAUCUCAGGAGAUUUGGAGGAUCCCCAAGAUGCCAUCCCCAGAGGAACCAUGCUGGCCAUUUUCAUCACCACUGUUGCCUACUUAGGGGUUGCAAUUUGUGUAGGGGCCUGUGUGGUCCGAGAUGCCACCGGGAACAUGAAUGACACCAUCAUUUCUGGGAUGAACUGCAAUGGUUCAGCAGCAUGUGGGUUGGGCUAUGACUUCUCAAGAUGUCGACAUGAACCAUGUCAGUACGGGCUGAUGAACAAUUUCCAGGUCAUGAGCAUGGUAUCAGGGUUUGGCCCCCUCAUCACUGCGGGAAUCUUUUCUGCAACACUCUCCUCCGCCCUGGCCUCCCUUGUCAGCGCACCCAAAGUGUUCCAGGCUCUGUGCAAGGACAACAUCUACAAAGCCCUGCAGUUUUUUGCAAAGGGAUACGGGAAAAACAAUGAACCCCUGAGAGGAUAUAUUCUCACUUUUCUUAUAGCCAUGGCAUUUAUUCUUAUUGCGGAACUGAACACCAUUGCUCCCAUCAUCUCCAACUUUUUCCUGGCCUCAUAUGCACUUAUUAAUUUCUCCUGCUUCCAUGCCUCUUAUGCCAAGUCUCCAGGAUGGAGACCUGCAUAUGGAAUUUACAACAUGUGGGUAUCUCUUUUUGGAGCUGUUUUGUGCUGUGCAGUCAUGUUUGUCAUCAACUGGUGGGCAGCUGUCAUCACCUAUGUCAUUGAAUUCUUCCUUUACGUCUAUGUGACUUAUAAGAAGCCAGAUGUGAACUGGGGCUCCUCCACACAGGCUCUUUCCUAUGUGAGUGCUUUAGACAAUGCUCUGGAAUUAACCACAGUGGAAGACCACGUAAAAAACUUCAGGCCCCAGUGCAUUGUCUUAACAGGGGGACCCAUGACAAGACCUGCUCUCCUGGACAUAACUCACGCCUUUACCAAGAACAGUGGCCUUUGCAUCUGCUGUGAAGUCUUUGUGGGACCGCGCAAACUGUGUGUUAAGGAGAUGAACAGUGGCAUGGUGAAAAAACAGGCCUGGCUUAUGAAGAACAAAAUCAAGGCUUUUUAUGCUGCAGUGGCGGCAGACUGUUUCAGGGAUGGUGUCCGAAGUCUUCUUCAGGCCUCAGGCUUAGGAAGAAUGAAACCAAACACUCUGGUGAUUGGAUAUAAGAAAAACUGGAGGAAAGCUCCCUUGACAGAGAUUGAGAACUACGUGGGAAUCAUACAUGAUGCAUUUGAUUUUGAGAUUGGCGUGGUUAUAGUCAGAAUCAGCCAAGGAUUUGACAUCUCUCAGGUUCUUCAGGUGCAAGAGGAAUUAGAGAGAUUAGAACAGGAGAGACUAGCAUUGGAAGCAACUAUCAAAGAUACUGAGUGUGAAGAGGAAAGUGGAGGCAUCCGAGGCUUGUUUAAAAAAGCUGGCAAGUUGAACAUUACUAAGACAACGCCUAAAAAAGAUGGCAGCAUUAACACAAGCCAGUCGAUGCAUGUGGGAGAGUUCAACCAGAAACUGGUGGAAGCCAGCACUCAAUUUAAAAAGAAACAAGAAAAAGGCACAAUUGAUGUUUGGUGGUUGUUUGAUGAUGGAGGGUUAACACUUCUUAUCCCCUAUAUCUUGACUCUCAGAAAAAAAUGGAAAGACUGUAAAUUAAGAAUCUAUGUGGGAGGGAAGAUCAACCGCAUUGAAGAAGAAAAAAUUGCAAUGGCUUCCCUUCUGAGCAAAUUUAGGAUAAAAUUUGCAGACAUCCAUAUCAUCGGUGACAUCAACAUUAGGCCAAACAAAGAGAGCUGGAAAGUCUUUGAAGAGAUGAUUGAACCAUAUCGUCUCCAUGAAAGCUGCAAAGAUUUAACAACUGCUGAGAAAUUAAAAAGAGAAACUCCGUGGAAAAUUACAGAUGCAGAACUGGAAGCAGUCAAGGAAAAGAGUUACCGCCAAGUUCGACUGAAUGAACUCUUACAGGAGCACUCCAGAGCUGCUAAUCUCAUUGUCCUGAGCCUUCCCGUGGCAAGAAAGGGAUCCAUAUCGGAUUUGUUGUAUAUGGCUUGGUUGGAAAUCCUCACAAAGAACCUCCCACCUGUCUUACUAGUUAGAGGAAAUCACAAAAAUGUCUUGACAUUUUACUCUUAAAACAUGAAAGAUUGGAAUACAUUUUAACUUAAUGUAAUGCAUAAUUAAGAAACAUGUUCCAGUACUUUAUGUUGUAAAUCUGAUCUAUGGAUAUGCAAACCUCUGGAGAUGAUCCUACCAGAUUCUACAUACAUUGCAUAAUUUUUAUCAGUUAAUGCGAGCUUUUUUUUCUCUUCUCAGCUUAAGGGGUUGUCAAAGCCAAUGUUAUCCCUAGAAAAACAUUUUUGUCACUGCUGUUGAUAAACAAGAAAAUCAAGGAAACUCAUGUUGGCUUAUGUUCAUAAAAACCACGAAUGUGAUUGUAAACUUCUCCAGACAAACUUAACCUUUUGUUUCUUAAUUUUUUGUUUUGAGUGUUUGCUUCUCAGCCCUGGUAUAGGUCUCAGCCCCACAGCAGGAUCUCAAUAAAUGCUUAUUGACAGGCUGGCAUAGUAACCACGGGUGGUUAUCAAAGGAAAAGACCAAUAGGCUGGGGAACAUAAUUAUGCUUGGCCCCCUCAGAGGCUUAUACCUACAAAGCAGAUUUAAAAAUCAGUAACUCAAAACUUUAAGAAGUAGUUGAGUCUACAAAAUAUUCAAAGCAGUUACCUAAAUAAGGUUAUUUAAUGUAACAGAUUAUAUACUUAAAGUGAUCUGAGCAAUCAUUGAUAACAUAUGGCUUAAAUUUGCUGCUGCCUGAAAAGUAUAUUAACUAGAUUAGAAGACACCAUAUACUCCAAUAAAAUGAAAUAUAUUCUAUUCUCAAUAUAUAAACUUUAAUUGUACUCCCUAUCAAAUAUUUUGAAAUUUCCAUCACGGCAUUACUUUGCAUAUUUUUUUCUAAUUAAAUGGUUAGUACAGAUGAAAUCUUUAUAGAUGACUACUUGAAAACUAAGUGCUACAAAUUUUCAAACCAUUAUUAAGAAAUAUAUCCUGAAUCAUAUAUUUAGUUACUUUCUAUAGUGAUUGUAUGGAUUUAAAAGAAUAAUUAAAAUGUGAAGUUGAAAAACUUGUAAAAUUUGGAAUAUACAGAUACUGAUUUUUUUCAUUUUUGUUAGUAUACCUAUAAUACAUAAUCACAUUGACAAACCAAUGAAAAUAUUGUUUUUCUGAUGAAUGGCUUGAUUUUUCUCCUUGACAUGUUUUGACUGUUCAUUCUAACUGAAAACAUAUAUGGGAAAAUAUGAACCUGAAAUAAAAGCACUCAAAUUC
rnacentral:sRNA from 1 species